rnacentral:rRNA from 1 species
UGGGGAAUUUUCCGCAAUGGGCGAAAGCCUGACGGAGCAAUACCGCGUGAGGGAGGAAGGCUUUUGGGUUGUAAACCUCUUUUCUUAAGGAAGAAGAACUGACGGUACUUAAGGAAUCAGCAUCGGCUAACUCCGUACCAGCAGCCGCGGUAAUACGGAGGGUGCAAGCGUUGUCCGGAUUUAUUGGGUUUAAAGGGUACGUAGGCGGGCUGUUAAGUCUGAGGUGAAAGCUCCUAGCUCAACUAGGAAACUGCCUUGGAUACUGGCAGUCUUGAGUACAGUAGAGGUAGGCGGAAUUCAGGGUGUAGCGGUGAAAUGCAUAGAUACCCUGAGGAACACCGAUAGGGAAGCCAGCUUACUGGACUGUGACUGACGCUGAGGUACGAAAGCGUGGGGAGCGAACAGGAUUAGAUACCCCGGUAGUCC